rnacentral:rRNA from 1 species
CCUUCCGUAGGUGAACCUGCGGAAGGAUCAUUAGAAUUACAUUUACACACUGUUUUGGAGGAGCAAACAAAUAACAUUUUUAUUCAACUGACUAAAAUCAAAACUUUCAACAACGGAUCUCUUGGUUCUCGCAUCGAUGAAGAACGCAGCGAAUUGCGAUACGUAAUAUGACUUGCAGACGUGAAUCAUUGAAUUUUUGAACGCACAUUGCGCCUCGAGGCAUUCCUCGAGGCAUGUUUGUUUGAGCGUUGGUAUUCCUCGCCCUAAAGUUUCUACUUUCCUGAUGUUCUUCGAACAUCAGGCCAGGGCGGCCUUGCCCCGAAAUACCACAGGUUUUGUUCACAUGUCUACAAAACCCCCACCCCAACCUCAAAUCAAACAAGACUACCCGCUGAACUUAAGCAUAUCAAUAAGCGGAGGAA